rnacentral:tRNA from 1 species
GGUGCUAUAGCUCAGUGGCAGAGCACUUGCCUAGCAUGUGUGAGGCAUUGGGCUCAAUCUUUAGCACCA